rnacentral:lncRNA from 1 species
AUCAAACAUACCAUUAUCAUUUCUUGAUUAUACCCAAAGCAGUUAAUUGCAAUAAUACAAGAAAAUCAAGAUUUUAUAUCACAAAUGACAAACCAAUUUUUAAUUGUUGUACCCAAAACAAUUAAAAGCUCCAAAAUAAUGAUAACCUAAAGUAAAAAAAUCUUCUCUUCUCUUGUCAAUUUUCACUUGUUUCCCAGAAUACCAUUUUUUGCGUAAACCAUAAUUUCUUUACUUAAAUUCACCACAUGUUCAAUAUAUAGCAACGUCUUCAGAUUUCAUCAAGGUCUUCAAUAUUUAUGUAAAAUCACUUGUUUCCCAAAAUACCCUCGUUAUUUUGUUGAACCUUUUUAACUAAUACAAAUAACAAAUUUACAAAAGAUAAACAAUAUUUAUGUAAAAUCACUAAAACUCAAAUACAUAAGAAAGUAUAAAUGCAAACUUUUAGGGGAUUAAAGAAACUACCUGCAGUAGGUGUAUGAAGGUAGAAAAAAUGAUAAUCUGUUUAAAAAAGUUAACAAGACAAGUAAAAAAGGAACAUGGGAAAACUUGACAAUAUAUAUGCAAAAUUAUAGUGACUCGAUUACGUUAAUUCUCAUAUGUUUUUUCUGUUCAUCUUCCACAUCUAACAGUCACAUGUAAGAUUCUUUGCAUGCACAACACAUCAAAUUGUUAAUCAUUUUUUUGGAAAAAAAAAGUCCUCAAUAACUAAUGUUGAUCCUUUUCCAGGGAAACACCAUAACCUUCAUUUUAAAUGCCUAAUUAUACUAGUAGUCUAGGGAGAUAAUCAUCAACUAAAUAAUACAUCCAACAUAUUUCUGAAUUUCUUGAGAUUGCACCAAAUCAGAUUUCAGAAAAAGAAAAAAAACAAAUUUUCACCUCAAUUCCAUUCCUGUGCAGUAAAAUUGAAAGUGGUCAAACAACCCUAGCAGCCGAUCAGACUUCAAAAUCGUGUAUCAUAGCUAAUAACAAAUUAGGGGGAAUGGUUUCAUGUGUAGACUAGAAGAAUAGAUUUCACAGAAAUCGAUUUUAGAAAAUUAGAGAUAAACAAACCCUGUGUAUCAAGGCGGUUCAGUGGCUAUCGUCAGCGCUGUCGAGGGCAGAUACCAUCACUGGCGACGAUGGCAUUGUUGAAGACUCGUGUGUGUGUGAGGUCGAAGAUGGGGGCGGCUAUGUUGUCCGAGGUCAACAACGGGAAGAUGUUGGCGGAUUUGGUCGGUGAUGAGAGGAGAUGAUCGACGCUGGAGUUGUUCGGAUGUGGGAAAAGAACAACGGGACGAUGAAUCGUAGAAUCGAUGUGUGUUGAUGGACGAAUGUGUUUGAGGGCAAAAGAGGGAAGAGCGUGUUUCUUUUUUAUUCAAAUAUAA